UACGUAGGAUGCAAGCGUUGUCCGGAAUUAUUGGGCGUAAAGCGAACGUAGGCGGUUACUUAAGUUUGGUCUUAAAGACCGGGGCUCAACUCCGGGAAUGGACUGAAUACUGGGUGACUAGAGGAUGUCAGAGGAAGGUGGAAUUCCAAGUGUAGCGGUGAAAUGCGUAGAUAUUUGGAGGAACACCAGUGGCGAAAGCGGCUUUCUGGGACAUUCCUGACGCUGAGGUUCGAAAGCUCGGGGAGCAAACAGG
rnacentral:rRNA from 1 species